CAGGUCAACAAUCUUGGAAGCCACACAUUGAAGCUGGAGGAGCUCCAAGGUAGAAGGACCCUGAGUUCCUGAAUUACUAUUUAGAGCCCACCUUUAAGUAGAAACACUCAUGUACGGGAGCAAGAGCUCUAAUAUUCUUUGAUGCAACACUGGACAAGAUGCUAUGUGUGGAGCUCUGCACUGGAAGCUGCAGAUACAGCCAUGAGUGGAGGAUCGGGGUCUGGGUCUGUAAGCACUAAGAGCCUGAGCAGUGGGCCAGUGCUCCAAUGAAGCCAGAGGCCUCCUGGGUCCUGACACAGCUGGGGAUGGGCGAGUACUUUAGUGGGGCAUGAGAUGAAGGGCAGGAAACAAGGCUAAAAAAAGGAGAAAGGGGGCUUCUGUACCUCAUGAGGAAUUUAGACUCCAUCCUGUAUUCCUGUUAGCCCAACUUUGUUCCUUUGUCCCACCAUCACUGUUUUGGCCAAUUCUGUGCUAUGGUGGUUAAUAGCAGGGCCACCAGAGCUGCAAGUUCAGGUUUGUAUCUAUGCUUUGCUGCUUACUGGCAGCGUGACCUUGGGAAAAUUACCUAACCUCUCUGUGCUCCAAUUCUUCAUUGCAGAAUGGAGAUGAUACCUCAUAGAAAUGUUAUGAAGGCUCAGUGUGUUACUACAUGUCAAGUGCUUACAAACAGUGCCUGACACCUAAAAAGAAUUCAAAAACCAUUGGCUGGUAUCUUUAUACCUGUGUACCAUUGGAAGUGAUGUUUUAAUAUAUGGUUUAGAAACGCAUAGCACUGUACAUGGAAAUUCAGGAUGUGAAGAUCCAUACUAACAAUUUAUAUCAUCUGCACAAUGUAUACCCCUGGAAUGUAGAGGCAGAGAUUUGGUUACUGAGGUUUUAAAAAAUCACUGGGCAUGGCUGAAAAAUGCUCCUGUAAUCCAUGUCAACUUUGUAAGAUGAAUUACCAUAGGCAUAACUACUUGAGCUUCCCCCUGAGAAAAAAAUAUGUGAAAUCACUAGUGUAAUUUUAAUAAUUAUACAUUAAAAUAAAUAUAUUACUAUUAAAAUUAAAAUUGUUCAACCCUCUGCUUCCUAAAACUUGUUUAUGCAUAAAACCCUUAUUGUAUACAAUGAAGAGACAGAAAUGUUUUAAGCAGGGAGUGACAUGCACAGAUUUGUAUUUAAAAAUUUUUAGUAAUAUUGCCUCCUUUUUUGUUCCUUUCCUUACCCUCAAUGUGAGUGCUUGAUAAGCAGAGGGGAAGAUAAAUCAGGCUUUGCAAAAGCUGGGAUUAACUUGCCUUUUUCACACAUAGCAUUGUUUUCCUGUUCAGUUGUAACAUGUCAUAUUGGUUUUGAAUACAAUGUUUUAAAUAGAGUAAACAAAACACUUGGAUUUCUCAAAGAGCUGAGGCCACAACAGAACAUUUGCACAGCCUGUUAUUUCUAGCUGGAAUGCUCUUUACCUGCCUUCCACUUAGCUCCUACUUACUUAACUUCAGAAUUCUGUAAAGCAAUAUUUCAUAGGGAAGCCUUACUCUGUCUAGCUUACCAGUCAGAUUGCCUCAUUAUUUAUUCAUCUGAUGCAAGUCUAUGUCCUACAGUUUAUCACAGUUGUAACUAUACAUUUAUUGGUGUGACCACUUGAUUAAUACCUGUCUAGCCCACUAGAUGGUAAGAACCAUGAGUAAAAGGAUCAUGCCUGAUUUUGCUUACCACUUAUCACCAGUACUUUGCACAAUGCCUGGCACAUAAUAGGAUCAAUAAAUAUUUUUGGAAUACAUAAAUGAAUGAAUGAAUUAAACAUCAUUUUUAAGGCACUCCAUUUUACCUUCAUUAUAAACAUGUAGAAUAGAAAGAGCACAAAAUUUGAAAUUGUCACCUGGAUUUAUGUCUAUAACCCACCUCUUAUGAACACUGGUCUGGCCACAUGCUAACAUUUUUGAGCUUCUGGAUCCAGUAGUAUCACUUAUCAAUAGGAUUUUGGUGAAAAUAAAGUAGUAUAAUACAAGGGAAAGGGUAAUGUGUAUAUUCUAUUAGUGUAUACAUAUGUUAAACUAAUUAUUGCUCUGAGUUGGUCACAUACAGAAGUUCAUAGAAUACUUUCUACCCUCAAAGAAUAUGCUUUCCUUGAACUUUCAAAAUACACUCACACAUGUACACACAAUGAUCACAAUGGUUACAGAAUAGUAUGAAACAGUGUGGCAUAAAAUGUGGUGCUACAAUUUUCAAGGGGACUUUUUAAAAUUUUAAUUUAAUUUAAUUUAUUAUUAUUAUACUUUAAGUUCUGUGGUACAUGUGCAGAACAUGCAGUUUUGUCACAUAGGUAUACACGUGCCAUGGUGGUUUGCUGCACCCAUCAACCCGUCACCUACAUGAGGUAUUUCUCCUAAUGCUAUCCCUCACCUAGCCCCCCACCCCCCAACAGGCCCUGGUGUGUGAUAUUCCCCUCUGUGUGUCCAUGAGUUCUCAUUGUUCAACUCCCACUUAUGAGUGAGAACAUGCAGUGUUUGGUUUUCUGUUCCUGUGUUAAUUUGCUGAGAAUGAUGGUCUCCAGCUUCAUCCAUGUCCCUGCAUAGGACAUGAACUCAUCCUUUUUUAUGGCUGCAUAGUAUUCCAUAGUGUAUAUGUGCCACAUUUUCUUUAUCCAGUCUAUCACUGAUGGACAUUUGAAUUGGUUCCAAGUCUUUGCUAAUGUGAAUAGUUCUGCUAUAAACAUAUGUGUGCAUGUGUCUUUAUAGUAGAAUGAUUUAUAACCCUUCGGGUAUAUACCCAGUAAUGGGAUUGCUGGGUCAAAUGGUAUUUCUAGUUCUAGAUUCUUGAGGAAUUGCCACAGUGUUUUCUACAAUGGUGGCACUAAUUUACACUCCCACCAACAGUGUAAAGGUAUUCCUAUUUCUCCACAUUCUCUCCAGUGUCUGUUGUUUCCUGACUUUUUAAUGAUCGCCGUUCUAACUGGCGUGAGAUGGUAUUUCACUGUGGCUUUGAUUUGCACUUCUCUAAUAACCAGUGAUGAUGAGCAUUUUUUCAUAUGUUUGUUGGCUGCAUAAAUGUCUUCUUUUGAGAAGUGUCUCUUCAUAUCCUUUGCCCACUUCUUGAUAGGGUUUUUUGGUUUUUUCUUGUAAAUUUGUUUAAGUUCUUUGUAGAUUCUGGAUAUUAGCCCUUUCUCAGGUGGGUAUAUUGCAAAAAUUUUCUCCCAUUCUGUAGGUUGCCUGUUUACUCUGAUGCAAUUUCUUUUUCUGUGCAGAUGUUCUUUAGUUUAAUUAGAUCCCAUUUGUCAAUUUUGGCUUUUGUUGCCAUUGCUUUUGGUGUUUUAGACAUGAAGUCUUUGCCCAUGCCUAUGUCCUGAAUGGUACUGCCUAGGUUUUCUUCUAGAAUUUUUAUGGUUUUAGGUCUUAUGCUUAAGUCUUUAAUCCAUCUUGAGUUAAUUUUUUAUAUAAGGUGUAAGGAAGGGGUCCAGUUUCAGUUUUCUGCAUAUGGCUAGCCAGUUUUCCCAACACCACUUAUUAAAUAGGGAAUCAUUUCUUCAGGGGGAUAUGUUAAUAUUUUAGAAGCAAGGUAGCAAAGAGAAAAUAUAAGAGUUUAAAUUUUAAUCCCUUGUUUCCCAUUUAGAAAACUGAUAUUAUAAUUUCAGUUCUGCCACUGACUGGCUAUAUGACCUUAAAUAAGUCAUUUAGAUUAUCUCAGUUUCCACAUUGAAAAUAGGGAUAAUUCUACCCCUUUGUAAGGUUGCUGCAAGAAUUCACAAGGGCUAUAAAUUCCUAUAUUUAAAAAAAAGAAUAAAGACCUCAAAAAGGAAAAGCUUCAAGUCAAGAACAAACUAAACCCAAGCAGGUAGAAAAAAGGAAAUAAUAAAGACCAGAAUGCAAAUAAACUAAAUAGAGAAUAGAAAACUAAUAGAAAAAAAUUUAACAAAACCAAAAAUUAGUUAUUAAGAAUGAAACUUUAAAUGAAUAAAUCCACAAACCUUAUUUAACUAGACUGACCAGGAAAAGAAAGAGAGGGGGAGAAGACCCAAAUUACUACAAUCAACAGUGAUAGAGGAGAUAUUGUUAUCAACCUUACAGAAAUAGAAUUGUAAAGGAAUACUAUGAACUAUUGUAAGUAAACAAAUUAGAUCACCUAAAUGAAAUGGACAAAUUCUUAGAAAGCCACAAACUACUGAAACUGAUUCAAGAAGGAAUAAAUAUUUGAAUAGGCCUAUAACAAAUAAAUAAAUUGAAUUAGUAAUCAAACACUUUACUCAAAGAAAAGCCCAAAACUAGAUAGAUUUAUUGGUACAAAAAUUUCCUUUAAAAAGAAUUAACACUAGGUCAUUGUCGUUGAAAAUCAAUUGGCCCUCUCCCUCUCCCUCUCCCUCUCCCUCCUCUCCCUCUCCCCACGGUCUCCCUCUCCCUCUCUUUCCACGGUCUCCCUCUGAUGCCGAGCCGAAGCUGGACUGUACUGCUGCCAUCUCGGCUCACUGCAACCUCCCUGCCUGAUUCUCCCGC
rnacentral:lncRNA from 1 species